rnacentral:lncRNA from 1 species
GUAGUCAUAGGGCAGCUAAGCUUUCAGGCAAGGGAGGUAUAGGAUGAGAUAGAGAAAGUCUUUCCAGUCCUACAGCUUGAGCAGUAAGUAGUCUUUACUAAUUUAUACGCGUCAGCGAUCAAAGGUCAGCAUAGUUGGGCAAGCAUGAGGAGAUCCAGUUUAGUCCGAACAGUACUAUUAUCCCGAGUCAAGUAGUAGCCUCAUGGAGGAAAUGAAUAUUGAGUGGAUGAGAUAAGAUGUUUAUUGAGGAGUAGGCUUAACCCUGCGGAGGAGAAAGACCAGUGAGGAGCACCUUUAGAACCGUUAUAUGCCCGGCAAGUCCCAGGAAAGCCUAAGUUGGGUAGGUCAUUCCGGUAUGGGACAAGCGAAGCGAUCGGCCGGUUGGUGAGUCUGUCCAUUUUGUGGAGUGAGGAAAGUCAGUUGAUUCCGUUCCUGAGGUUCUUUCUUCGCAAGAGUCAAUGCUAAUAACGCAAGAUUGGAUUAAAUACCUGAAUGCCAGGCAAGCUCGUCAAUCCCGAUGCU